UACGGGAGGGGCAGCGUUGUCGGAAUUAUUGGGCGUAAAGGGUGCGUAGGCGGUUUGGUAAGUCUUAUGUGAAAUCUACAGGCUCAACUUGUAGUCUGCAUGAGAAACUGCCGGGCUUGAGUAUGGGAGAGGUGAGUGGAAUUCCUGGUGUAGCGGUGAAAUGCGUAGAUAUCAGGAGGAACACCUGUGGCGAAAGCGGCUCACUGGACCAUAACUGACGCUGAUGCACGAAAGCUAGGGGAGCAAACAGG
rnacentral:rRNA from 1 species